rnacentral:rRNA from 1 species
GAUACCCCGGUAGUCCCAGCCGUAAACUAUGCGCGUUAGGUGUAUCGGUGACCACGAGUCACCGAGGUGCCGAAGGGAAACCGUGAAACGUGCCGCCUGGGAAGUACGGUCGCAAGGCUGAAACUUAAAGGAAUUGGCGGGGAGCACCACAACGGGUGGAGCCUGCGGUUUAAUUGGACUCAACGCCGGGAAGCUCACCGGAUAAGACAGCGGAAUGAUUGCCGGGCUGAAGACUCUGCAUGACUAGCUG